AGCCCCUUGCAAAUUUUUUUUUUUUUUUUUUUUUUUUUUAAGAACCCAAUGGAUGUAUGCUCUAUUUGACUUAAAGAAAAACACUGAAAUAAAAUUAGCAUUUCUAUUGACAAUGGGAGAAAGCAAAGGAUUCAAGUCAAAUCUACAAAUAGAUAUCUAGCUCAUAAAAGUUUUUGAGUGCCACAGUGUCAGUCAGUUGUAUCCCAGUAAUUAAAAGUCUCUCAGAGAUGGGUGGUUAAACCAUUGCUGUGUGACGUUGAUGAAAGUUUUAUGACCCGAGUCUUUGUGUUUUUCUUUUUAAAGUUUAAUUGGGUCUGAACCUGUAAGCCAGACCCCUGCCCGCCAAUCCCCCUCCCCAUAUGUCUGUCUGUCUAUAGGUGUGUCCACCUCUAUGUGCCUAUGCUUCCGUGUGGAGGCCAGAGGUCAGUCUUCAGUGUUAUUCCUCAGCUGUUGUCCACUUUGGCUCUUACUGGCCUAGAACUCACUGAUUAGGCUUGGCUGACUGGCCAUCUGGCUGACUGGCUGGGAAGUGAGCCCCAGGGGUCUCCCUGCCUGUGCCUCCCAGUUCCAGGAAUUACGAGUGCAUACCACCACACCUGUCUUAUUUAUUUAUUUAUUUAUUUAUUUAUUUAUUUAUUUAUCCAUACCCAGCUUUCCCUGCCCCCUUCACAUCCACUUUUUAAAAAUAUGAAUUGUGAGGGUCAAACUCAGGUCCCCCUGCUCCCCAGCGUGAAUGUCUUGAAGGGAGGCGUGUGUGUCGGGGAAAAGAAAUCUGAACAGAAAAUUCUUUGAACCAAAUGGCUUGGUUGGAUUGCAGUACAUCUUGGUAAAAAAAAAAAAAACGCUAUUUGGAGCCUAUAAAUGCUGUGCCGUGUGGUGUCUUCAGGGUGAGAUGAGCAACAGAGGAGGCUGAUCCUGUGAUGGCAGACAGGAGGGACCCAGCUUGUACUUUCUCCUGAGUUCCAUUUGCUCCUGUCUGUCAUUGCACAAAUACCACAUAUACACAGAGCGCUCUCUCUCUCUCUCUCUGUGCCUGGCCGUGCCACAGAUAGGAGGUUACUGUCUGCCAUGAUUUCAUGGGGAACUUUGAACCUCAAGGAGACAAUAGAUUUCAUCCCUCAGAAAGUUUUGCACUUGAUCUUAAGUUUCUCCUGAGACAGUCAUCACCAGUGUGAUGACAUCUGUGUCCCAUUAUUAGUCUGUGUGUUACUUGAUGGGGUGAUUAUGACGUCAUGUUACUUCGAGGUGGCAGAUUAUCUAGUAGUAAAAUAAGACUAGCAUAAGGUUUUCACUAGAGUCCCAGUCUAGGGUCUGUGGAAUCCCUUAAAUUAUGUAUGUGAUUAUUAUAUAUGCAUAGAAGAUAGUCGGAUAUUUGAUGCUGUUGGCUGAGCAAGUAAAGAAAUCAGCUGAGCCCCUGUCUACCUGGAGAGUGUGGUUCUGGCUGUACUUGAACCAAGUGUGGAUGUACAUGCCUGGCAGUCCCAGCCCUUAGGAAACUGAGACAGGAGACCUUCACCCACUGUGCUUAGAAGCAUGUAGAAAUGGAGGGAGGGGUAGCAUGCACACAGGCCGAGCAGGAAGCCUGCAGAGAGAAGCCUUUCUUCUGGGGUUAAUAAACGGAAAAGGCAUUGAAGGAGAAGGUUGAAGCCAUUUUGCCAGAAGUUGACCUUCAUCCUGUUGACAGUGUGAUGCUACUGAAGACUGGGCGUGAUGGUUUGGUCUGGGGAUGAGGAGAUGAAGCCAGCAUGCCUUGCAAUGAGGGCCAGUGAUCUUAGUAGGGAAAUUAAACAAUAUAACUGGAAAGUAGUGCCUACAGCGUGAUACAGAGUGCAGGCGUGGUCGUGGCAGUGGCUUCUGCUGUUCCAUCAAGAUCUGCUGAGUAAAACCAGAGGUGAUGGGACAUUCAGAUAUCACCAGGGGCCGGCCCUUCGUGUCCCCCUUCUUCCGGGAGUCUUAGCCCUUGCAUGGCAGCCACCAGUUGUCCUCAGUAAUGGGUACCUUUGCAGUCAUGGAGUGUCUUUACAAUUCGAAUGUCACUAAACACCAGCUCCUUGGACCUUGCCUCUCAGCGGAGGGCUUCCACCUUCCCAUUUAAUCUGUGGGUUUGGUUCAUUCUUUUUGUCUUGCCUUUGACCCACAUUUCAGCCAGUAAUAGAGACGUCCGUCCACUGUGACAGCUGCUGCUCUGGCCUCUGGUUUCCACGCUGGCUUCGCAUCCCUGACUGGGAAUGGCUUGUCAGUUUGCCUCAUUCUGUGAGGCUUGGGGUGGACAUGGGGGUCGGGGUUCUUUGGAAAGGAGACAUUUUCUUUAUCGUAAGAACAAAACAAAAGCAAAACAAAAACUGGUCUUUGUUCCCAAAAUUCUGCCUAACUCCUGAAGGGAAGGGUUUGACCCUUAGAGGUCAGAGCAGCCAAACUCUGCUGCUCUUUCCCCUCGAUGGCCUAUGGCUGGUGUUUGGGCACUGAGUCAGAGGAGGGGAGGGGAGAGGAGAUAGUGCCACCAGCUGCUGCUAAAAACAGCAGCAGCAUCCACUGGU